UUCACUGGAGCUAAGGGGCCGAGCCCAACCCCUGAAAAACAACACCUGAAUUCAAUGAUUUGGAGCGGUGUCCCAAUACUUUUGGCAAUAUAAGUGUAUGUGAGGAAGAAUAUCCCUGGUGGAGAGAUUUGAAAUUAUUUCUGAAGGAUCUUGAAGGAAUAUUUAUCACACUUGGUGAUUAUUUUCAGUUUGAGGGUCCACAGAGUUUUGCACCUGAAUGUAAAACAUAUUAUAUUGUGUGUAUUGGGAGUAAAGAGGAAACAUACAUACAGAGUUACACCAGUUCACAUCCUGUUCGAAAGUUUACACAACCCCAUGGGUAUCGUCUUGCCUUCUAGAGCAUCAGUGGACAUUUGUUUAAAGCUUGUGUCAUAGUUUAAUCAUGUUCAGGUCCCUCAGAGUUCCUCAGCUGGAUCUCAAAGGCACUAAAUAUGCCGAAGAUCACCGAAAAGCAAAGAAUGUGCAGGAGCUGGAGGAUUUUCUGAAGAACUGUGGGCGUUGAGCAUCCAGGUCUUUCCUGCUGCCAUGGAGCUGUUUAGGAUUCACUCAUGAGGUCUGAGGUGCCGCGGUGGGAUUUUAUACUCUGGAUGAUGGAGUUUGCCGUACAGGCUAACCAAACCAGACAUAAACAGGAAGAAGGAGCAACAGAAGAAGAAGCUGUAAGAGGAUUUCAAGAGAAAGUCUUUAACAACAGGAAAAUCCUCGUCAGGCACCGGGAGAUGUUUAAGAUGUCCUCCAGGAGUCGGGUGAGGAUGAGGUAUUAGGUGACGGUGAAGGUGUACAUGGAGUUCUUGUUUAGAGGUUUCUCUCUCUCUGUCUCUCUGAAUGUUAUUCUGCGUUUUGUCCAGAGCAUGAACCAGACAUUCAGCUUCUAUUUAUAACUUACUUCUCUCAUCAGUUUCUUAAGUGUACUGGACACGCGCUCCACUUCCAGACUGCAGUGAAACACCUGAGCCGGGGCCGUGAUCAUGCUGAAUCUUCAAGAGAGUCACAAUGACUUGUGAAGACUUUCGAACUAACCUGAACAGUUGCAACUUUCAGGUCACUCUGGAACCCUUGAAGAGAAUCUAUAGCUCGAUGUAGAUAUAGAGCCACAGACUAAAAGACAACAACCCUACCACCAUGGUCCACAACACCAGAGAGGGCCAGAGAUCAUGGGAGAUGUUUACUGCUGUUCUAAAAGGCAUGGUGGGGCAAUUACAAAAAUAUUUGCGCGAGACAGACGACAAGAAUGACGCUAGACUGCAUCAUGCUGUAGCAGAUCCUAUUAAAAACAGGCCUCAGGACUGCAGACUCAAGUAUCUUCUCCUUCCAGGCAGACAUUGUGGAUUGCAUCUUCAUGCAUUACUCUGCUCCUCAACACCACAUGAAGGUGCAUCAGCCUCAGGUCCUACCUUUGUUCUUGCCCAGCACUCUGUCUCUACAGCAGUUGCUCAAGCACCACAAGGACUGCUUACAGAGACAUCUGGAUUACUGUCCUCCAUUGUGUCUUUUGGAUACUUUAAUCUUGGAUGGUGCAGGAGGCGAAGCACUACACAGCGUAUAUGAGGAGCAGAUCCUGGAGCGGGAUUUUAUUAGUUAUAGAAAUAAAUACAGACCAGUCAAAUAAUGAAAUAAAUAAUGACCCCAUGUGGUUUUAUAGUCUGAAUGGAGUUUGCACUACAUUGAGAUAAACAGCAGGGGGCAGUAUGACGUCUCUACAUCCCUCUAGACAGGCGAUUGCUCUAAGGAACCCUUAAAAUUGUCCAAAAACAGUGUAACAACAAGAUCAUUCAAACAGUACGCUGAUCCAAUGCAAUGUGUGACUAAUAUGAUAUAGUUACUAUAGUAACUAGUUACACAGUGACUUGUAUGGCUAAUCAUAAUCUAGGGCUAAUCAUAAACAGAUAAACACGUCGAUAUACGCGCCGUAGCUAAUUGCAGCCAUGCCGAUUUUCAAUAUAACUGCUUUUAUACAACAGCUCGCUAGCAUAAACAGAUCUCAAAGAAGCCACAAUUGCACGUUGGCUAGCUUGCCAGCGACCUUGCUAGCUUCUUCCCUUUCAUCUUCCCCUGUCAAGCUUCCAUAUUUAUUUUAAUCCUGAAGUUAUAUACAUGUCUGCUGAUGAUGACGCUAGCUCUCCUGUAGUAGCGGAUUUUAAGCAGCAAGUGGAAUUUUAUAUCAGCGCAGUGAAAUGUCCUUGUAGGGGUAUAGCGAGCACAGGUAGUCUUGGAACGCUGCUCAAUACGGUGAAGUUUUCAGUUAAGUGAUUUCUGUUUAUUUAAUGUUUAAAUAAAGUGCCAACGCUUUAAUAGUCACAGAGUUUUAAAGCCAUGGGAAAGACUUCAGGACAGAAGAGACCUCACACAGGUCAAUUUGAUCACAUUAACAUCUGUUAACACACUUAACACAUGAUGUUUUCCAAAAAACCUUCAGUCAGUAUAUCAACAGCUGCAAGAUGGAAAUCUGGAAAUGGAAAUCUGGAUCCAUACUCGGGUUUCUGUAAAGCUGUCGUUACAGCGCUGGAUAAUGUAUUUGUAGUGUCUCUUUAUUUGAUCAGCUAUACAUUGAGGCCUUCCAUCUGCUUCCAUCUGCCUGAAAGCUAACAUGAUUUCACAAGCAGUGUGAUAGCAAAAGAUCAGUCACUCAUUAAAUAGGUUCGGCUCCAUUUGGGUUGACUGACGGAUUACUGAAGGAUACAAAUGUGUGAUUAUGUAAUGAACGUCAUUAUGAAAUAAAUGUCAUUAUGUAAUAAACGUGUCAUUAUGUAAUAAAUGCAUCAUUGUGAAAUAAACGUGUCAUUGUGAAAUAAACGUGUCAUUGUGAAAUAAAUGUGUUAUUGUGAAAUAAACACGUCAUUAUGUAAUAAACGUGUCAUUAUGAAAUAAAUGUGUUAUUAUGUAAUAAAUAUGUCAUUAUGUAAUAAACGUGUCAUUAUGAAAUAAACGUGUCAUCAUCAAAUAAACGUGUGAUUAUGUAAUAAAUGUGUCAUUAUGAAAUAAACGUGUCAUUAUGUAAUAAACGUGUCAUUAUGAAAUAAACGUGUCAUGAUGUAAUAAACACAUCAUUGUGAAAUAAACACGUCAUUGUGAAAUAAAUGUGCCAUUGUGAAAUAAACACGUCAUUAUGUAAUAAACGUGUCAUUAAGUAAUAAAUGUAUCAUCAUGAAAUAAACGUGUCAUUAUGAAAUAAACGUGUCAUGAUGUAAUAAACGUGUCAUUAUGAAAUAAACGCGUCAUUAUGAAAU